UUACAGCUAGAUCCAUACCCCUAAACUCCCUAGAUGAAAGACAGCGCCAAACAUGCGCUGUCCUUUUUUU
rnacentral:sRNA from 1 species